GGUCCAGAUGACAAAACAACUAAAUUUUUAUUAUUUGCUGAACAGCAGCCCCACAUACCAAUGCUGAGAUUUGAAGAGCUAAGCCGCUAGGAUGCACCCUGGGAAAAGGCUUGUGCAAUGCAGUCCUAGAAAAACUAAAACCAAAGCUGGACAAAUGAUCUUCUUUGUCUAUUCACAGCUCAAAUCCUAUAAAAGACUAUACCCAAGAGCACCAGAAAAACAACAUAGGAGCUGA
rnacentral:lncRNA from 1 species